CAUCUACUACUUCCGUACAAAAUUACUUAUCUCAUAAAUGAAUGUAUCUAGAUGUAUUUUAAUUCUACAUACGUUUAUUUUUAUCGAUAUCUGUGAUAAGUAAUUCAGAACGGAUGAAGUAAAAA
rnacentral:pre_miRNA from 1 species